GGGGAAUAUUGGACAAUGGGCGCAAGCCUGAUCCAGCCAUGCCGCGUGGGUGAAGAAGGCCUUCGGGUUGUAACGCCCUUUUGUUGGGAAAGAAAAGCAGCCGGCCAAUACCCGGUUGUUCUGACGGUACCCAAAGAAUGAGCACCGGCUAACUUCGUGCCAGCAGCCGCGGUAAGACGAAGGGUGCAAGCGUUACUCGGAAUUACUGGGCGUAAAGCGUGCGUAGGUGGUGGUUUAAGUCCGUUGUGAAAUCCCCGGGCUCAACCUGGGAACUGCGCUUGUGACUGCAAGACUAGAGUACGGCAGAGGGGGGUGGAAUUCCACGUGUAGCAGUGAAAUGCGUAGAGAUGUGUAGGAACACCAAUGGCGAAGGCAGCCCCCUGGGCCGAUACCGACGCUCAUGCACGAAAGCGUGGGGAGCAAACA
rnacentral:rRNA from 1 species